AUGCCUCAGUACGGCGAGUGAAGCGGCAAAAGCUCAAAUUUGAAAUCUAGCACUUUCAGUGUUCGAGUUGUAAUUUGAAGAAGGUAACUUUGGUUUUGGCUCUUGUCUAUGUUCCUUGGAACAGGACGUCACAGAGGGUGAGAAUCCCGUGCGAUGAGAUGCCCAAUUCCAUGUAAAGUGCUUUCGAAGAGUCGAGUUGUUUGGGAAUGCAGCUCUAAGUGGGUGGUAAAUUCCAUCUAAAGCUAAAUAUUGGCGAGAGACCGAUAGCGAACAAGUACAGUGAUGGAAAGAUGAAAAGAACUUUGAAAAGAGAGUGAAAAAGUACGUGAAAUUGUUGAAAGGGAAGGGCUUGAGAUCAGACUUGGUAUUUUGCGUUCCCUUCCUUUUUGGUUGGGUUCCUCGCAGUUUACUGGGCCAGCAUCGGUUUGGAUGGUAGGAUAAUGACAUUGGAAUGUAGCUUUACUUCGGUGAAGUGUUAUAGACUUUGUUGAUACUGCCUAUCUAGACCGAGGACUGCGUCUUUGACUAGGAUGCUGGCGUAAUGAUCUUAAGCCGCCCGUCUUGAAACCACGGACCA
rnacentral:rRNA from 1 species